AACGAACGCUGGCGGCGCGUCUUAAACAUGCAAGUCGAACGGCAGGAAGGGGCUUGCCCCUUCUGAGAGUGGCGGACUGGUGAGUAACACGUGGGUGACAUACCUUUUAGUUGGGGAUAGCUAUUAGAAAUAGUAGGUAAUACCGAAUGUGACCGUACCUGUUAGAGGGGUACGAGGAAAGGAGCUAAGGCUUCGCUAAAAGAAUGGCCCGCGGCCCAUUAUGCUCGUUGGUGAGGUAACGGCCCACCAAGGCGAUGAUGGGUAUCCGGCCUGAGAGGGUGAACGGACACAUUGGGACUGAGAUACGGCCCAGACUUCUACGGGAGGCAGCAGUGAAGAAUAUUCAGCAAUGGACGAAAGUCUGACGGAGCGACGCCGCGUGGAUGAAGAAUGCCGAAAGGUUGUAAAAUCCUUUUAAGCCUGAUGAAUAAGCACAGUAGGGAAUGAUUGUGCGGUGACCGUAGGGCUUGAAUAAGCACCGGCUAAUUACGUG
rnacentral:rRNA from 1 species